rnacentral:rRNA from 1 species
AUUGAACGCUGGCGGCAUGCCUUACACAUGCAAGUCGAACGGCAGCACGGGAGCAAUCCUGGUGGCGAGUGGCGAACGGGUGAGUAAUACAUCGGAACGUGCCCAAUCGUGGGGGAUAACGCAGCGAAAGCUGUGCUAAUACCGCAUACGAUCUACGGAUGAAAGCAGGGGAUCGCAAGACCUUGCGCGAAUGGAGCGGCCGAUAGCAGAUUAGGUAGUUGGUGAGGUAAAGGCUCACCAAGCCGUCGAUCUGUAGCUGGUCUGAGAGGACGACCAGCCACACUGGGACUGAGACACGGCCCAGACUCCUACGGGAGGCAGCAGUGGGGAAUUUUGGACAAUGGGCGAAAGCCUGAUCCAGCCAUGCCGCGUGCAGGAUGAAGGCCUUCGGGUUGUAAACUGCUUUUGUACGGAACGAAACGGCCUUUUCUAAUAAAGAGGGCUAAUGACGGUACCGUAAGAAUAAGCACCGGCUAACUACGUGCCAGCAGCCGCGGUAAUACGUAGGGUGCAAGCGUUAAUCGGAAUUACUGGGCGUAAAGCGUGCGCAGGCGGUUAUGUAAGACAGUUGUGAAAUCCCCGGGCUCAACCUGGGAACUGCAUCUGUGACUGCAUAGCUAGAGUACGGUAGAGGGGGAUGGAAUUCCGCGUGUAGCAGUGAAAUGCGUAGAUAUGCGGAGGAACACCGAUGGCGAAAGCAAUCCCCUGGACCUGUACUGACGCUCAUGCACGAAAGCGUGGGGAGCAAACAGG